AAGGAACGUCACUGAAGACAGUAGAAGUAGGCCAGAUGAUGUUGUUGGUGGCAAUGCAGGGAUGGAAGCCAUUGACAAGAAGGGUGAGAUAGCUUUGGUAGAACCAGAUCCAUCGAUAUUGGGUUUAAGAGUAAUAUAGUCUCGAAUUCCAAUAUCUACAAAAGUUGGGAAACUGAAACAACAGGGCAAGAAUAACUGAAAUGGAAAGCUUU
rnacentral:misc_RNA from 1 species